UACGGGAGGCAGCAGUGGGGAAUAUUGCACAAUGGGCGCAAGCCUGAUGCAGCCAUGCCGCGUGUAUGAAAAGGGCCUUCGGGUUGUAAAGUACUUUCAGUCGUGAGGAAGGUGUUAAGGUUAAUAACCUUAGCAAUUGACGUUAGCGACAGAAGAAGCACCGGCUAACUCCGUGCCAGCAGCCGCGGUAAUACGGAGGGUGCGAGCGUUAAUCGGAAUUACUGGGCGUAAAGGGCACGCAGGCGGUUAAUUAAGUUUGGAUGUGAAAUCCCCGGGCUUAACCUGGGAAUGGCAUUCAAGACUGGUUAGCUAGAGUCUUGUAGAGGGGGUUAGAAUUCCAUGUGUAGCGGUGAAAUGCGUAGAGAUGUGGAGGAAUACCGGUGGCGAAGGCGGCCCCUGGGACAAAGACUGACGCUCAUGUGCGAAAGCGUGGGGAGCAAACAGGGAUUAGAUACC
rnacentral:rRNA from 1 species